GCAUUACUUCACACUGUACUGGCAUCAGCGGAGACCACCAGAACCUUGUCAAAUGCGACAACAGUCGGGCAGCAACCGACCGUUGCAACUUCAAGCCGCGACACACUGGACAGUCACAUAGCGUCGCUUUUCCCCUCCAGACCUAUGCUCCGGACAGCAUAGCAGCAUGACACUGCCAACUGCAGCUCCAGUCCAGAGAGUGUGUGCGCCACGUUAUCAAGCGCAACGCUUCAGCUCUUGGACAUCAGCCGCGAGGAGGAAAAGAUUCUGUGAAGGACUGAAAACUCUUGGGGUUCUGGACCAAAUACGAAGACAGCUUUCGACCCCUGUUCUGCUAUGAGCCGAAUACACUGACUGCUGACCAGGUGGAUGAUCUUUUCAGCAUUCAUCUCUCUCCAGAAGGGAGCAACAAGAGAGCUGCUGAGGAGGGACUAUCUCCAAGAUGCAGAAGAAGAAGGGCCAUCCAAACUAGAGAAGAUAUUGGCCUUCACAACUGGAGCAUCUGUGGUACCACCUAUCAGCUUUUCCCCAACUCCUUCUGUCCAGUUCAUUCACAAAGGAGAUGAUGGCUUCUCUACAUCAAUGUUCACUCUUGCCAACACAUGUGUUAACUGCAUCAAGUUGCCACUACAUGUGUCUUACCAACUGUUCAAGGAGAAGUUUGACUUUGCAUUAGGAAACACAUAUGGGUUUGGCAGGGCAUGAACAUGUCAUGCUCUGAAAACUUUUUCUAUCUGUGUCUCACUUUCUCUGUUUGUCUCUACCUUUCUGCUUUCUGAAAAAAGUUUAAAACAAGACAGUUAUUUUCAUUUCUGAAUGCCGUAUGCAAUAUAACUUAUGUAUUUUAUAUAGUUUCACCCCAAUUCAGUUGACUCAGUCAGCCUAUGUUUUAAAACAUAUUUACAUUUAUUUUUAACGGCAUGUUUUAUAUUCUUACCAAACUUUCUUUUAACAUAUACUUGUUUCGACAGUUAAAAUUUAAACAAUUAAGCUGAACAUAUGCUCUGUAUCCCUUUCUGUGACUCACUUUCUGUCUCUUAUUUGUCUAUCAAUCUGUUUGCUUCUCUGAUGUGUCUGUCUGUUUCUCCCUCUGCCUGUUUAAGUCUCUGUUUGUCUCUUUUGUCCUGUCUUU